rnacentral:misc_RNA from 1 species
AACAUCGCGCACCUGCGGGAACCUGCGGAGGGAUCAUUACGAAAUUCUCGGGGGGUGCGGCCUGUCCCGGCCUGCGCCCCCGCUGGAAGCGCCGGAAGGCGCCUGACAGCGCAACCCUUUGUGAAAUUCCCCCGUUGCUUCGGCAGCCCCUCCCAAGGAGCGGUAAGCCUGCCGGCGGCAUUGUGGAAACUCAUCCUGAAAACCUGCACCCUCUGUCUGAACAGCGCAGUCGAAUGACUA